rnacentral:sRNA from 1 species
GCAACAAUUAGGCUUUGGGGAUAAAACGAGGUGCGGAGAGCGGGCUGGGGCAUUUCUCCCCGAGAUGGCGGGUCUGACGGCGGCGGCCCCGCGGCCCGGAGUCCUCCUGCUCCUGCUGUCCAUCCUCCACCCCUCUCGGCCUGGAGGGGUCCCUGGGGCCAUUCCUGGUGGAGUUCCUGGAGGAGUCUUUUAUCCAGGGGCUGGUCUCGGAGGCCUUGGAGCAGGAGUGCUGGGGCCUGGAGGCAAACCUCUUAAGCCAGGGCUCGGCACCUUCCCUGCAGGUACCUUUCCGGGGGCUCUGGUGCCUGGUGGAGUGGCUGACGCUGCUGCAGCCUAUAAAGCUGCUAAGGCUGGUAAGUGGUGCUCUUUGGGACAUGCCACAAGCCCUCUGGCUUCCAUGGGGCCCUCUGCUUUGCAAAGAACCUUCCCUCAACUCAGGCUUGGGAGCCAGGUGGGUGGGAUUGUCAGUUGCAAUCUACUGGGGCUCA